UACGAUCUGUAUCUUUUAGCCAUGAUGGACUGCAUGUUGCAAGCCUUGCUGAUGAUAAGUAAAAUGGUGAGGUUCUGGAGAAUUGAUGAGGAUUAUCCAGUGCAAGUUGCACCUUUGAGCAAUGGUCUUUGCUGUGCCUUCUCUACUGAUGGCAGUGUUUUAGCUGCUGGGACACAUGACGGAAGUGUGUAUUUUUGGGCCACUCCACGGCAGGUCCCUAGCCUGCAACAUUUAUGUCGCAUGUCAAUCCGAAGAGUGAUGCCCACCCAAGAAGUUCAGGAGCUGCCGAUUCCUUCCAAGCUUUUGGAGUUUCUCUCGUAUCGUAUUUAGAAGAUUCUGCCUUCCCUAGUAGUAGGGACUGACAGAAUACACUUAACACAAACCUCAAGCUUUACUGACUUCAAUUAUCUGUUUUUAAAGACGUAGAAGAUUUAUUUAAUUUGAUAUGUUCUUGUACUGCAUUUUGAUCAGUUGAGCUUUUAAAAUAUUAUUUAUAGACAAUAGAAGUAUUUCUGAACAUAUCAAAUAUAAAUUUUUUUAAAGAUCUAACUGUGAAAACAUACAUACCUGUACAUAUUUAGAUAUAAGCUGCUAUAUGUUGAAUGGACCCUUUUGCUUUUCUGAUUUUUAGUUCUGACAUGUAUAUAUUGCUUCAGUAGAGCCACAAUAUGUAUCUUUGCUGUAAAGUGCAAGGAAAUUUUAAAUUCUGGGACACUGAGUUAGAUGGUAAAUACUGACUUACGAAAGUUGAAUUGGGUGAGGCGGGCAAAUCACCUGAGGUCAGCAGUUUGAGACUAGCCUGGCAAACAUGAUGAAACCCUGUCUCUACU
rnacentral:lncRNA from 1 species